rnacentral:rRNA from 1 species
GAUGAACGCUGGCGGUGUGCCUUAUACAUGCAUGUCGAACGAGGCGUAGCAAUACGUCUAGUGGCAAAUGGGUGAGUAAUAAAUAGGUAACCAACCCUUAAGACGGGGAUACCCCAUCGAAAGAUGGAAUAAUACCCGAUAAUGUCCCUUCCGGUGCGCUGGAGGGGAAGAAAGAUGGCGCAAGCUAUCACUUUUGGACGGGCUUAUUUCCUAUCAGCUAGUUGGUGAGGUAACGGCUUACCAAGGCUACGACGGGUAGCUGGUCUGAGAGGACGGUCAGCCACAUUGGGACUGCGACACGGCCCAGACUCCUACGGGAGGCAGCAGUCGGGAAUAUUCGGCCAAUGCGCGAAAGCGUGACCGAGCGACACCGCGUGGGCGACGAAGAUCUUAGGAUUGUAAAGCCCUUUUGCCAGGGAAGAAUACGCUGGAGACAAUAUCAAUAGCGUUUGACGGUACCUGGCGAAUAAGCCGCAGCAAACUACGUG